rnacentral:tRNA from 1 species
AUUUAAGUAGUUUAAUUAAAACGUUGAUUUGUGGUGUCAAAAAUAUAAUAUAUUAUUUUAAAUU